GGGGCUGACUUGGCUUUGACAGCGUGUUGAGGUGGUAAGUAAGCAUGCAGAGUGAUGGUGUCUGAGCUCUUUAAAUCCAUGAUAUCGACUUUUUUAAAUGGCGAAAAUUCUUACGCUCUCGCUGCCUGAUUGAAGCACAGUAGGUCAGCUUAAUCUUUGCCACGAGUUGCAAAGACGAGACAUCACCCGGUGGCCGUUGCUCCGAGGCUUAUCGACAAGGUGGUGCUAGCAUAUCGGGGAUAGAGGAUGACGAGUCUCGAGUCAAACUUGAAAUUUAGAGACUAAGCUGCAAGUCGGUAGUCGUGAGCCUGCUUGCAGUCGAAAACCAAGUCACCGACUAAGCAUGUAGAAAGCUUAUUAGUUCCACGUUUGGACGAGGGUUCAAACCCCUCCAGCUCCACA
rnacentral:tmRNA from 1 species